rnacentral:lncRNA from 1 species
CGGGAUCAGAAUGAAGUAUAUGCAGGUAUAAAAUAGUCCAAGAACAAAUUUAAUUUUUAAAAAAGCAAGAAAGAAAAAUGGUUUCACUAGGCCUAACCUUCCAGAAGAGAAUGGGGUAUGGAUGGUCUCUUAUGUGUUUUUAAGGGACUAGCUGGUGGGUUUUGGUAUUGCACAAAAAGUCUUGCUCAGACUGAGCACAGGAGCAACAGGCCCCAGUCCUGGUGAGGAUGAAGACGCCAAGCACAGAAACAAGCUUCACUUCCCAUCAGAUCUGGCCUUGUAUACAGCAGAAAGAGUCAGGAGUCCCGACAGUGUGUUUCAAGGCUCUGAUGAAAAUAUAAUCACCCCACUUCGCUAUCUCUCCACCGUGACAGAUGUGCUGUCUUAAUAUGAACAGGAUGCAAUUAAGGAUUCAUAGGUGGGAAACGGAGCCCAGCCAAAGCAAGCCUGCUGACACUGCGCACUGUUGCGUGGGAGUGGACGCGCUCCAUGAGGUGUGCUGUUGCAGUGUUUGGGAAAAGGGUGAGAAACCGAAGGCCCACGCACGAAACCCAGUGGCGGCUCCGAACUCACCCACGUCCAUCAAGAGCGGAG